rnacentral:lncRNA from 1 species
CAAGCAAGCCGCCUUCCAUCAUGACUGGAAUAUUGAAGCCAUCUGCUCAGCAAUUUCCCUAAAACUUUUUAUAGGAUGGAGUGUUUAACUUUCACGUCUGCUGAGGACCCGAGGCUGUGACGUUAGAUGUGGAAACAGGAAGCAAUCAUUUCAAAUGGGGGGAUAGAGGAACUGGCUGAAGUUAUAGGUCUUAGAGAUGUUAAGUUCACUGAGAAUGAAAGAUUUGAGGAUUCUGGUUUUUACUGUAUAAUUUGAUCUAAUAUGUCUGAAUCCUACUUAAUUAUUUAGGAAAUGUUUGGAAAUUUCUUAGAUGCAUACACAGUGGGUAUUGCUUUUGCAUUUCAUGGCAGAUAGGGCCCUUAUAAACUCAAGUGUGAUUUAUUCUUACCUGAGCAGUUUUAUAAAAGACUCCCAAUUUUUGAUUAAAAGAUCAACUUUGAGAUGGGUAGGGGUUUCACCUCAGGAAGAUAAAAACCAUUCUGUGAUGGACAGGGGCUAUGGUUGUGCAACAGUGUGACUGUACUUAAUGCUGCUGAGCUGGACACUCAAAAACAGUCAAGAUAGUAAAUUUUAAGUUGUGUGUGCUUUCCAUGAUUUUAAAAAGUGAUCAAAUUUGGGGUGAGUCGUGGCUUUCCUUUGUUUGACUUGUACUUAUUUUGGAAGUGCCAUUUGCUCCAGUAACUUACACAUUCAUGGCAGCAUCAACUCCCUUCCCUGCUCCUGGUGACCCAUCUCCCUCUCCCUGUGCCUUUGGUCAGGGCCUUCCCGGGUGGCUGCCCACGCAGGGUGACCAGUGACAGUGGGUAUAUCCUCUGUGUGACCGUGUCAUCUGCGUGACAGUGGCGUCUGUAUGAAGCCAGUGUGACCUUCGCCAGAACAGCUGCUGGAAGGGUGUCCUGCGUCCUGUUUUCCUUCACACCUGUUUCGUGAGCUGCCUCUGGAGGGUCAGGAACUGGGGCCCUCGCUGUAGCAGGAGGCUGGCCUCUGUGUCUGACGUCCACUGGCGGGGCCCUGGGGGAACUCAGGGUCACCCUGAAGUUAAAAUUGCCCCAAAUGGUGCUCAUCCUGUGUGGUAAUAAAACUUAACAGGGUAGCGACCUCUUCAUAGAGAGCAUUUUGCUGAGAUUGGCUAUUUUCCAGACUCAAGUUAACCUUCUUUAGGUGUUUGCAAACGGAGAUCUCUUCCUGCCGCUUCUAAGUCAGGGGAGGGGCCUGGACUCAUGUAAAAUGCAGGGGGUACCUCCCUCCGCUGCUGUGGGGGUCUCAGGGUCCGAGCACGACUCACGUGGAGACACUGUCACAGGCACAUUCCGAGAGAGGACAUGGACUCUGAGUGUGUUUCCCAGGUUGUGCGUUUGACUAUGAGGGGCAGGGGCUGCUUCGUCCUUAGAUGGUCUGACUCCUCCAGAAGGCCCGGGCCUUUGGGGAAAUCGAGCUCAGGCACGUGUGAGCUCACUAAACUCUGUACGGGCAACACAGUGGGCGGGGGUUCUGCCCCGAGCUUAGGGGGUCUCGCAGCCUUUAUCUCCCGUCUGUCAGGGCACAGCCCACCUGCUGCUGAGAAUACCUGGAAGUUACAACAAUGACUGAUUUUACAGUUAAGCAGCAGUACUUACCUGAGCAGACUUUCAUGGUAACAAGUAAGUAGUGACACCUCGAGUGGAUGGAACACGUGGUGGUAUUUGAUUUUUGAGAUCCAUCCUACCCCACUUGACGGGGAAAGCAUGAUCGUGGCAUAAUCUGCGUGCAAAACUGGGUGGAAAGAUUGUAUUUUCCUGUAUUCUGCGGGACUGACCUUUGUGUGUUUGUACAGCUGUAGCGUGAUGUCCGUGGAAGACUCGGUGUUACUGACUCUGAUCUUGGGUUGCAACCAGUGAUGUGCUGGCUGGUGCUUCACUGCCAGCUUCAGGCACUGGUGAGAGGAUGUCAGGGGCCCACGCGGGCUGUUGGGAGUUUCCAGGGCAUACACGCCCCACCCUGGUCACUGGAUAUGGGUCGGGAGAGUCCUCACUUUCCCGCCCCCAUUCUGCAGACCAGUGUUAGACUCCAAGGUGUGUGACUUACUGUUGCACAGCUGAAACAUAUUUUGCUGAGACUCGGGUGCCGGCUUCCACUAUGGUUCAGUGUGCAAGUCUGCCGUGCAGUCUUUUCCUAUGGAAUAUGAUGUACAGCAACCCAGUGCAGCUGGGGCUCUGGGGCAGGGGCACAGGGAGGGGGAGCUGGGGGGCCUCAGGACAUGAGAUGGGCAAGCCCACCAGGUGGGGCGUUCACACACCUGGGAUGCCUCACCUUUGUGGAAGGACAGGUGGAUGGCAUUUUAAUGUACAGAGUCAAACAUAAGACGUUUUGUCUUUGGAUGAUCAAAUCCUUCAAGUAAGUUUCUUUUACCCAGAGACCGAAAUUAUUUAUAAUACCUUUUUUUCUUUCAAAAAAGAAUGAAGGCUGUGGAAUAGGGUGCCAUAUGAUAUGAUUCAUAAGCUAAGAAUAACCAAGCAGCACCGAGUUGCACUGCAUGAGGAGGGGGUGUAUCAGCUGUGAGGAUGCUUCUCCUUUCAGCCCGUGACUUGCUGACCCAUGGCCACUCUGGGGUGAGCAGCCGCUCAUCCCCCUGCCCUUUCAGGAUGGAAAUCCUCCUGUGCUUAAAGGGCUUUAUUUCAUAAAUAGAAAUGGCUAUAUCAGAAUACUGGUCAUGCUAUUUAAUUAUGGCCAGAAUGAGAGGUUAUAGAUCCAUAGUUUUAAGGCCAAAACUGUUUUAUUCCAUGCAGCUCAUUCUUAACCCCAGGGCUACUCACAGUGGACGUGGCAUUUUUGUGCUGCUUGGGAAGGUUGGGCCUCUGGGACUAGAGGCCCCUGAAUGAGGCUGGGUUUCAGCCCAGCUCACCAGGAGCAGAAGCUUUGGUGUAGAGCCGAGAUUAGACCGUCUCCACCCUUGCACAGGUGACGUGCUGAUUUACUCAAGUGUGUGGUGACUGCCGGGUUCACGCGGAGACAAGGUCUGUGUUCCAGGCUGGAUGUUCUACAGGUGCGACUGUGCUGAAAGGUUUCAUGCGUAAACCUUGCAUUCGACAUUGGAUUUAAGAGGCACCUGCUCUUGGGGCAGACCUAUGGAGCCGUGAGCUGAGCUGUGUCCUUGAUGCCAAGUGGACCUAAGGUCAGGUGUUUGUGUGGUCGUGGUCGGCACCGUCUGCAGAUUCACAACUCCUCGUCCUCACGCCCACAUUCUGUGGGGGCUGUCUUGCGCCUUUCCACUGAAGAGACAGGUACCCCAAGUCUGUAUUAAUUGGUGUUCUAGAAGCUCUCCGGAGAGAAACGGGAUCUGCAGAGGAGAGCUGCCCGGGGUCACGGGAAGUCUUCCGACUGGAGUUCUGAAGCUCCUGGAUUGCAAGACGGCCCUGGUCGCCCCGAUUUCACUCACCAGCACCACGCGGGGGAGCCAAAGCCGUCUUAGGAAACUCCCCACUGGAACGAGAACACGGCGAGGGAGGGCUGGGCACCACCCAGGCCCACCUGCCCCUCGGGGUCCCCAGUAGCUGCAGAGCGUGGGGGCUGACGUGCAGCCUGUCAGCAUCUCUGCAUUGCUCGGUCCACAUGGCUCACCCGCUGUCCAGACCCGUGCUCCUGUCCCGGCGAGCCACACCACCUCCCUGAACCCCCACCCCCUUUGCCCUGUUUUCUCGCUGCCUUUUUUUUGUGUUGUUGCGAUGCAAUGCAAGACAGUUGGGGGGCGUUUAUGUGUGUAAACACCAUACAUUCUUCCUGGUAUAGACACGAUCCAGUCAUUCCUGUGCACAUAAAAGGGACAAAAGUAGGUUGUCACCAGUGCUGUGGCAGAUCACUAAAGCCACCUAUUCUUUGUCGCCAACAUAAGAAUGAAGGCCUCAGUGACCCACCCCUUACUAUUGGGGCAUAAACUGUGGACUCUGGGGGCAUGGAGGUGAAGAAUAACCUCGCAGCGAGGAUCCUGGCUUCUUGGUGGGGAAGAGGCCCUGGGAACCAGGACUUAGCUCCUGGACAGAGGUGUUGCACUGAGCCCUAUGGCCUGGUUCCUGGCACUGGGGUUGGGAUGAGCCCUGCGGGCCAUUUCCUCCCGCCAGGCCCAGGUCUCCCAGGAGGCCAGGGUCAGACCUGGCGCCCUCUGCCCCCGAAGGGCACCUGCUCCAUGGGUUUUGCCUGUUCCUGGGAAGAGGAAGGUGUGAGGUGCCUGAGAUGUGUGGAAUCACCAGCCUUCCCUUUGCUUGUCCUACUUUCGAGGAAAAAAGUAUGAAACCCUUCUCCACACAUUUCAGUGUUGAAGGCAGAGAAAAAUAACACAGUUCCUAAGUCCAGUGUUGUGUUUCCUUGUAAGUUACUCCAGGAGGUUUGGACGGGAACAUUCUGUCCAGAGAGAGGUGGCCAGGCCCUGCCAGGAGGACAGUAAGGCCCCAGGCUCUGCCCCUUAAGGGGCUCCCAGGGGCCAAGUCCAUUCUGGCAGCCGAGAUGGGCCCUGGGCAGGGCUGGAACAACAGCCUCUGCUUGUUCCGCCUGCACUGCCCGCGAGGCCUCUCCUGGAGGGUGUUGCCAUGUCUUCACAUGUCCCUGGGGUCUCUUCUCACAAGUGGGCGGAUCCCACCACGAAGCCCCGAGGACAUUGUCACUCCAGAGCGCGCCCCCCAACACCAUCACAUCUGGAUCUGGGGUUCCACCUGUAGAUCUGGGACAUAGAUGUUCCUCCACAGGGGCCCCACGCCGGUCAUAGGACUGACACCCGACCAGGUGCCUGUUCUUCCUGGAAGCUGUUCAUCCUUGUAUUUAAAUUGCCAGGAGGUUAGUUGGACCACCAGUUUCAGAGUCUCCCUGAAUGGGAGGAAUCCAGUUUCAGGUAGAGGAGCUUUCUGCCAGGUGAGUUGGUUGGAAAACAUCCAGAAUGUCUGAGACUCCUCGGUCAGGAGUCAGGGCCUAUUUCUGGCCCUUGGCUCUGGGCUGGUCUGGCCUUGGACCUGGCCUUGGCUCUGGGCUGGGCUGGCCUGGCCUUGGACCUGGCCCUGGCCCUGGCCUUGGCUCUGGGCUAGUUUGGCCUUGGACCUGGCCUUGACUCUGGGCUGACCUGGCCUUGGACCUGGCCUUGGGCUUGGGCUUGGCCUUGGACCUGGCCUUCGGCCUGGCUUUGACCAGAGAAUGAGCCUCAGCAAUGAGGCUCCACUGGGUGUCUGUCCCUAGGAGAUGGGUGUCUGCCCCUAGGAGCUGAACUUCCCCAGGGGACCUUUUCUGAACCUUGGUUCUUUUUGUUUCUUAUUGUCAUGGCAUCCUCAAGUCCAAGGCCCUUUUGUGAAGUAAAGUUGCUCAGUGUGCACAGUGUAACUCUGUCCUGACUUUCAGGGACACGUUCCUGGGUCAGUUUUGCAUCUGAAGCCACAGAUAAGAUCUGUAACUAAAGGUGAGACAUCUGGUGCUGCUGUUUUAGAGUCAUGGGCUAAAAAUCACAAUGACUCUUUUCAGGCAUCCCAGUUUUUCCAGAACUCGUACCUCAAACUCCUCUGAAUGGUGCAGGUCUGUGUGCACGUGUGCUUAUGCAAGUUUGACAUUAUGCAAGUUCAAAAUGUCAGGCUCAGGGCUCCUGGUUUAAAAUGCCACUUCGUUGCAGCCAGUUAAGGGCUCUUCAAAUCUUGUGUUAGUAACUCCUUGUGAGUCCUCAGUAGAAAUAGGGUCCGAGGAGUUGUCUGAAAUCCCUGCCAAGAGGUGGCUUUUACAGGAUCCUUGGUUAAUCCUUGACCAUCUCUGAUGAAGUGGACGGGGUGGCCUGUGAUUCCAGGAGAAGAUGGUGACAUGACAUCUCUGCGCCCGACUCUGUCCACGGCAGUGACCCUGUCUGCAGUGACACCCUCCUCCCUCACAGCAUGGGCUUGUCUUCGUUGUGUUGAGCCACAGCUGCCUGGUUUACAGUCUUAACUAAAGAAAUGUUGCUAUAGCCUUUAUUUUUGUUGCUUUUUGUAUUUUAGAUGCAUAGGUAUUUAAGACAAACUAGUUUGAAUUAAAGAUAAACUGAUAUAUGUUUUUUAUGAGUCAUUGAAAAUAGCAAAAUAUAUUGUUAAAAAAUACCUGUCAGUCCAUCUCUACACAAAGCCUGAGAAGGCUUUUCUUGAAAGGAGCUUGCUGUGGUGUAUACAGAGGUCAAAACAUAGUAUUGUACACAUGAACCAAAGUUAUAAACCAAUGUCACGUCAAUAAAACUUAAUCAACUUC